AUUGAACGCUGGCGGCGUGCUUAACACAUGCAAGUCGAGCGGUAACAGGCGUAGCAAUACGUGCUGACGAGCGGCGAACGGGUGCGUAAUACAUGGGAAUCUGCCCUUUGGUGGGGAAUAACCCGGCGAAAGCCGGGCUGAUGCCGCAUAAGAUCUUCGGAUGAAAGCGGGGGAUCGUAAGACCUCGCGCCGAUGGAUGAGCCCAUGUCGGAUUAGCUAGUUGGUGAGGUAACGGCUCACCAAGGCGACGACCCGUAGCUGGUCUGAGAGGACGGCCAGCCACACUGUGAGUGGUACACGGCCCAGACUCCUACGGGAGGCAGCAGUGGGGAAUAUUGGACAAUGGGCGAAAGCCUGAUCCAGCGACGCCGCGUGUGUGAAGAAGGCCUGCGGGUUGUAAAGCACUUUCGAUGGGAACGAAAUGUGUCGGGCUAAUACCCCGGCAAGCUGACGUUACUCAAUGAAGAAGCACCGGCUAACUCUGUGCCAGCCGCCGCCGUAAGAC
rnacentral:rRNA from 1 species